AUGAUUCUCUUAUACCCACAUUUCAGGCUCACAAAACCCAAUGAGACACUUCCCCAUGAGGUCUGGAGAGGACAGGGGAGUUCCCUGAACACACAGAUGAUCCAUGACAGAGCCACCAUGCCAGCUCAGUUAUUUGGACCCCCGUUUCAAUGCUCAUCUCUUCUCAAUGUGCUCUGCUUUCAGAUCACUGGGAUGUUCAUCUUUGGUGGGAUACUCUUCGCAUACUUGGUUACCCUUGUGACUACUUCAAGAUGCCAGCGAACUUAUCAAACUCCUCGAAGGCAUCAUACUCAUCAAACUUAUCAACAUCAUCAAACUCCUAAAACUCCUCAAACUCCUCAGCCUGCAACGGUGAACGUGUUGUAUGCACCAGCUCUCAAUAUGCUGGAUUAAAAGUCCUCCUCUUUCCGAGCUUCCACACCCCAGGCUCCUCCCUUCUGGAUAAACCAAGGAAAAUGUCUCUCCAAAUGCUUGCAAUCUGGACUUCAUGCUUCCUUUCAGCCUGGUAAAUCCCUCUAUUAAUAUACUG
rnacentral:lncRNA from 1 species